rnacentral:rRNA from 1 species
CCUACGGGUGGCAGCAGUAAGGAAUAUUGGUCAAUGGACGAAAGUCUGAACCAGCCAUGCCGCGUGGAGGAUGAAGGUCCUCUGGAUUGUAAACUUCUUUUAUAUGGGACGAAAAAAGGGUUUUCUAACUCACUUGACGGUACCAUAUGAAUAAGCACCGGCUAACUCCGUGCCAGCAGCCGCGGUAAUACGGAGGGUGCAGGCGUUAUCGGGAUUCAAGGGGUCGUAGGGGAGUGGGUAAGGCUGUGGAGAAAUCCCCGAGCUUAACUCGGGAACUGCCAUUGAUACUAUCAGUCUUGAAUACCGUGGAGGUCAGCGGAAUAUGUCAUGUAGCGGUGAAAUGCUUAGAUAUGACAUAGAACACCAAUUGCGAAGGCAGCUGGCUACCCGAAUAUUGACACUGAGGCUCGAAAGCGUGGGGAUCAAACAGGAUUAGAUACCCCGGAAGUC